rnacentral:rRNA from 1 species
AUACGUAGGGAGCGAGCGUUGUCCGGAAUUACUGGGCGUAAAGGGCGCGUAGGCGGCGCUUCAAGUCGUCUGUCAAAUGGGAGGGCUUAACCCUUUUUCGCAGACGAAACUGGAGAGCUUGAGAAGCAGAGAGGCAAACAGAAUUCCUGGUGUAGCGGUGAAAUGCGUAGAUAUCAGGAAGAAUACCAGUGGCGAAGGCGGUUUGCUGGCUGCAUACUGACGCUGAAGCGCGAAAGCCAGGGGAGCGAACGGGAUUAGAUACCCCGGUAGUCCUGGCAGUAAACGAUGUAUGCUGGGUGUGAGACUAACGAUAGUUUCGUGCCGAAGUUAACGCGAUAAGCAUACCGCCUGGGGAGUACGGUCGCAAGAUUGAAACUCAAAGGAAUUGACGGGG